UUCGAGUGGUGGACGGGUGAGUAACGCGUGGGUAACCUGCCUUACACAGGGGGAUAACACCUGGAAACAGGUGCUAAUACCGCAUAAGCGCACAGGGCCGCAUGGCCCGGUGUGAAAAACUCCGGUGGUGUAAGAUGGACCCGCGUCUGAUUAGCUUGUUGGCGGGGUAGGGGCCCACCAAGGCGACGAUCAGUAGCCGGCCUGAGAGGGUGGACGGCCACAUUGGGACUGAGACACGGCCCAAACUCCUACGGAAGGCAGCAG
rnacentral:rRNA from 1 species